rnacentral:lncRNA from 1 species
CGACCUACAAGCAAGUCCUGAUCAGACUUGGCUUCGAUGGAGACCCUCUAAUACUUAAGUUAGAUCUCAAAAAAAUAGAGAAGAGUGUUUAAGAGAUUAUGCACGCAUAUCUCAAGGGUCUCCAAGAGAUCUUUUUGUAGGCAAAGGCCGAAAAGCUAUUUCAGACAUGUUACAUGGCCGAUUCAGAUGUAAUAUGAUGAGAUUUUUUUUAAUUAAAAUUUUGAAAUCGAAUGCUUACACCUACC